CCCUUAGUAACGGCGAGCGAAAAGGGAAGAGUCCAGCGCCAAGUCUUGACGCCGAAGCGCUCAAGAGAUGCGGCGUUAAUGUAUUAUCGCAUCGUACAUUGUUGCCUGUUUCAAGUUCCCUUGACAGGGACAUCCAUAGCGGGUGCUAGGCCCAUAGAGGCAGGGAACCAGUGUACGCAGAUAAUGCAUUCUAGAGUCAGGUUGCUUGAGAGUGCAGCUUAAAGUGGGUGGUAAACUCCAUCUAAGGCUAAAUAUGACAGCGAGACCGAUAGCAAACAAGUACCGUGAGGGAAAGUUGCAAAGCACUUUGAAGAGAGAGUUCAACAGUACGUGAAACCACUGGGAGGCAAACAGAUGGAACCACGAAGUUGCGCCUCGCUCGAUUCAAUCAUUGAUACUAGUUACCGGUUCUUGUGUGGAUCUUUUCGGAGAUUAGCAAGUAUCGUGGGACUGGUUUCAGUGGUGCAUUUCGUGUGAGGAUGCUAAGCCACGUUCGAUUAGAGUUGGGACGGCCGUAGGACAGAACUUAGGAAGGUGGCCGGAGAUGCUUGCAUUUUUCGGUUUUUAUAGAGUUAAGUUGGUACCGUCGCCUAACAUACUGAUCGAUAAAAAUUCUCCUUCGGAGUUGAACCGUGUCUGCCUAUGGUCAUUAGUCAACUUUUAGGAAUGUUCUUUACGUAUCUUUGGUGCGGAAAGACAUUUCGACAAUUUUGGUUAGUGGCUGUUUGCGUGACAUGGUGGAACUGUGGCGUGAGUAGGUCGGUUUCCCUCUGACCC
rnacentral:rRNA from 1 species